rnacentral:rRNA from 1 species
AUACGUAGGGUGCGAGCGUUGUCCGGAAUUACUGGGCGUAAAGAGCUCGUAGGUGGUUUGUCGCGUCGUCUGUGAAAUUCCGGGGCUUAACUCCGGGCGUGCAGGCGAUACGGGCAUAACUUGAGUACUGUAGGGGAGACUGGAAUUCCUGGUGUAGCGGUGAAAUGCGCAGAUAUCAGGAGGAACACCGGUGGCGAAGGCGGGUCUCUGGGCAGUAACCGACGCUGAGGAGCGAAAGCAUGGGUAGCGAACAGGAUUAGAUACCCUGGUAGUCCAUGCCGUAAACGGUGGGCGCUAGGUGUAGGGGUCUUCCACGACUUCUGUGCCGUAGCUAACGCAUUAAGCGCCCCGCCUGGGGAGUACGGCCGCAAGGCUAAAACUCAAAUGAAUUGACGGGG